rfam:Candidatus Lloydbacteria bacterium RIFCSPHIGHO2_02_FTLL_54_17 rifcsphigho2_02_scaffold_4462, whole genome shotgun sequence.
CUCCUCGUCGUUCAAUGGAUAGGAUGCCUCCCUCCGAAGGAGGCGAUGUAGGUUCGAUUCCUACCGAGGGGA